rnacentral:rRNA from 1 species
GGAAGGGGUGUAUUUAUUAGAUAAAAAACCAAUGCCCUUCGGGGCUCCUUGGUGAUUCAUGAUAACUUAACGAAUCGCAUGGCCUUGUGCCGGCGAUGGUUCAUUCAAAUUUCUGCCCUAUCAACUUUCGAUGGUAGGAUAGUGGCCUACCAUGGUUUCAACGGGUAACGGGGAAUUAGGGUUCUAUUCCGGAGAGGGAGCCUGAGAAACGGCUACCACAUCCAAGGAAGGCAGCAGGCGCGCAAAUUACCCAAUCCCGACACGGGGAGGUAGUGACAAUAAAUACUGAUACAGGGCCCUUUCGGGUCUUGUAAUUGGAAUGAGUACAAUUUAAAUCCAUUAACGAGGAACAAUUGGAGGGCAAGUCUGGUGCCAGCAGCCGCGGUAAUUCCAGCUCCAAUAGCGUAUAUUAAAGUUGUUGCAGUUAAAAAGCUCGUAGUUGAACCUUGGGUCUGGGUGACCGGUCCGCCUCACCGCGUGCACUGGGAGCCCGGACCUUUCCUUCUGGCAAACCUCAUGCCCUUUACUGGGUGUGUUGGGGAACCAGGACUUUUAC